rnacentral:pre_miRNA from 1 species
GUUUUGGUAUAAGUAUGCCCCAUGCAAUAUUUGGGACAUAUUUGUACUAAAA